rnacentral:rRNA from 1 species
GAUGAACGCUGGCGGCGUGCUUAACACAUGCAAGUCGAACGGAAAGGCCCAAGCUUGCUUGGGUACUCGAGUGGCGAACGGGUGAGUAACACGUGGGUGAUCUGCCCUGCACUUCGGGAUAAGCCUGGGAAACUGGGUCUAAUACCGGAUAGGACCACGUCUUGGAUGUUGUGGUGGAAAGUUUUUUCGGUGUGGGAUGAGCUCGCGGCCUAUCAGCUUGUUGGUGGGGUAAUGGCCUACCAAGGCGUCGACGGGUAGCCGGCCUGAGAGGGUGUACGGCCACAUUGGGACUGAGAUACGGCCCAGACUCCUACGGGAGGCAGCAGUGGGGAAUAUUGCACAAUGGGCGCAAGCCUGAUGCAGCGACGCCGCGUGGGGGAUGACGGCCUUCGGGUUGUAAACUCCUUUCGCUAGGGACGAAGCGUUUUUGUGACGGUACCUGGAGAAGAAGCACCGGCUAACUACG